CCUACGGGUGGCAGCAGUGGGGAAUAUUGGGCAAUGGGCGCAAGCCUGACCCAGCAACGCCGCGUGAAGGAAGAAGGCUUUCGGGUUGUAAACUUCUUUUGUCAGGGACGAAGCACGUGACGGUACCUGACGAAUAAGCCACGGCUAACUACGUGCCAGCAGCCGCGGUAAUACGUAGGUGGCAAGCGUUAUCCGGAUUUACUGGGUGUAAAGGGCGUGUAGGCGGGACUGUAAGUCAGAUGUGAAAACCACGGGCUCAACCUGUGGCCUGCAUUUGACACUGUAGUUCUUGAGUACUGGGGAGGCAGACGGAAUUCCUGGUGUAGCGGUGAAAUGCGUAGAUAUUACGAGGAACACCAGUGGCGAAGGCGGUCUGCUGGACAGCAACUGACGCUGAGGCGCGAAAGCGUGGGGAGCAAACAGGAUUAGAUACCCCUGUAGUC
rnacentral:rRNA from 1 species